CAUUAUGCUUAGCCGUAAACUUUGAUAGUAUCGCACAACCUCUAUCCGCCCGGGAACUACGAGCGCUAGCUUAAAACCCAAAGGACUUGGCGGUGCUUCAGACCCCCCUAGAGGAGCCUGUUCUAGAACCGAUGAUCCCCGUUCAACCUCACCAUUUCUUGUUCCCCCCCGCCUAUAUACCGCCGUCGCCAGCCUACCCUUUGAAGGUCCCACAGUAGGCAAAACUAGUACUCCUUAAAACGUCAGGUCGAGGUGUAGCGUAUGAAAUGGGAAGAAAUGGGCUACAUUCUCUAAACUAGAGAAACACGAAAGAAGCCUUGAAACAAGCUUCUGAAGGUGGAUUUAGCAGUAAGUUUGGAAGCAGAGAGUUCAGCUGAAACUGGCUCUGAAGCGCGUACACACCGCCCGUCACUCUCCCCGACAAAAUACCAAAAGUUAAUUAAAAAGUUUUUCAAAUAAGGGGAGGCAAGUCGUAA
rnacentral:rRNA from 1 species